GUCUCCCUGGCACACGGCUCCCUUCGCGAGACAAAAAGAUGUUGCCCAUGUUUAAUAUAUUACUGCUGUGAACAAGUUUAGAGGAGCAACUGCCUGUGUCAGAAGGCAGAAAUGGGACCAAUCACAACUUGGGAGCUGCUGAAUGACGCCGGGAGUCCUGCCUCUGAAACUUUUGUUAUUUUUUCCCCUCAACGUACUUCAAUUGUUCCCACAACUUGGUCACAGACUCGGACAAGUUGCCAGAGAUCUACAGACGCUUCCCACAGCCCCGAGCAGGCUCCUCUGUGCUUCACUAACAGUCUCACCAGAGGUGGGUGACAGCACCAUGGAGGAUUAACAAGCAAGUGGCAGAAACUAAAAACAGGUAAACAGCUGAGGACACAAUGAAAUUCAUGUGAAUCUACAUUGCUUGCUACUGAAGGAGCAACGCAAAGCUACAAUCAAGAGUCUGCUGCAAGCACAAGAGGGCAGACUGACGCACAUGAUGGAUCUUGCCAACAACAGAGGUCUCAACCUGCUACUCAAUUUUCUACUUAUUGUCUUGGUUCUGGUGCUCGCAUUUAUCCUUGUGAAGCUGAUGUGAACCUCUCUGAGGCUCUGCUUCCUUCUCAAAUCUCGUUUCAAGGGGUUUGCAGUAAUAAUGUAGACACUUCAAGCUAUCUGAAUGUAAAUAUGCAAAGACUGCAGAGAAAUAUCUGACAGUUAGAGAAAGUGUUCACAUACCUACAUUAUCAGAAAACAAUCCUAAAAGCUGUGCACAAUUCUCUACCUGCCAUUGAGUAAAGAAAGCAUCUAGAGCCUUGCUGAGUACAUGAAGAAAUGCAAGUAUGCAUCAGCGGUUACUGUAGUUUUCCCACUGCUACAGCUGACUUGUAUUUAAAGAUCUACAAAACAUCUGCAGCCUUCAAGGAACAUCAUUUCUGCAAAAGGGGACAGCAGAAAUCCAAUUUUUAAAAUGGGAUUUCCGGAGAACACGUACUUCAUGGGAAAUGACAUGGAUCGAGCAGGAAGGCAGAACAAAACACCAACAAUGGCCUGACAGCACGCAUCAAAUUGCCUGUGGAGAGCAAAAGCACAGAUGCUGUAGAUGGAAACAAGGAUAUCCAUGAAAAGCAGCUUGCAGCAGUUGAGAUGGGGAUAAGUUUAAAUAUGAAAACAUAAUUAUAUAGUUAUACCUUUUUCGACCACCUACGGCUCACAGCAACACCUUAAAAGCCAGAAGCCAUUAGUGUUAUCCAGCAGGAUCAAAAAAAGAAGCUGUCAAAACAACCGAAGAAAGAUGACCACUAACAAAGGUUAUCGUAACUCUGCCUAGGAAGCCCUUAACGCUGACACGUGCACGAGCGGUAGGUGCAUCUGCACGAUCACAGGAGCGUGCUGCUGCCUCAGUAAGCCACGUUUACCACUUAGGCACAGGUCAAGUGUGCAGCGUGGGAGCCCUCCGGCCGUAUUUGACACACCACUUGUUACGUGCCAGUGCAAUCACCCAGUCCACAGCUUGUCCUCACUUUAAGCAUGCAACAUAAGCUUCCUACAGGACCUCCUUCUAUGGCCCUUUACAGGAUGAUGUACUUUCCCCACAGGUCACUGGGAAGGACAGUGACCAAGAACUCACUUCUUGCUGGAAUUAUUUGCCCAGAAGGUAGCUCUGCGUACCUGAGAUAUGCUGGGAAAGAAGGCGGCCUGAAGUAGAUUUCAUACAUUACAAUGGGGCCGACCAGCUUGCUCUUAGCAUCUCUCUUUCCCAAGUACAACGUGGGAACAAAGUGCACCAACGCUGUACAGUAAACUGAGUGCCAUGCAUGCACAUAUUAAUAGUCUUUUGCACGCAUGCAAAAGAGGCAGAUGUUGCCCAUAGAGUGGGGGAAACCCCAGCUUCCAGCUUUCUAUUGACAACAGCACAUCCCUGAUUCAGCACGUACACUGUUGAUUCAGCACUCCUCACAAGUGCCACGUGUAUGAGCUGACCUACUCACAUGUUCUCACCGAGGAUUUCCAGAUGAUUACUGUUGUUGCGGGGUGGUUCAGUUAUCUGGAAGAGACCCAUCUAAAUUGGAUCUACAAAAAUAUUUUUCACAGGAAAAGGAAGUAUGCCUAGCGAAACAGAAAAUUUCUAAGUCCUACCAUUAACAGGCAUCCACGUCCCACUCUGUGCUGCCUGCUCCAAAAGCUUAGGCAGCAUUAGCUAAGGCAGCACGGAUAGUUAAAAUGAAAGCUUUUCUCUCACCUGCUCUGAAAUACGUACAACAAACAUUUAAAAUAGCUUCUGCAAACUACAUAUCUAUAGCUUUAUGUUGAUACAGUAAUAUCAAUUCCUGUCUGUUUGCAUUUAAAGCAGAAAACUUUGCACAGCUACAUCACUGUAAGCACUUUAUCACUUACUUUGAUAAUCUCGAAAUAUUCUGCUUUUAAAAAUAAAAUCUGUAAAUUUAUAUACAAGGGAUAUAUGUUGUACCAGUUACAUAGUUACAUAUUAUCUUGGAGGAUUUCUGCUGAUGCUUGACAUAGAUGGCUCAAAGCGUACCAAAACCACAAAAAGGGAUAUGAAGCCCAGGCUAGUCUAAAGAAGAAUAAAAAUGGUUUUCCCAACAAAAUGACUAUUCGCUGAUACACGGCUCGGGACUGUACAAAGCUUAUUGUCUGUAUGCUCUUCUGUAUAUUCAAAAGUUUCCCUAUCUUACGGAAACCAAUUUGACAGUUUAAUAGCUAAAAUUAGAUAAAUGAGUUAGCCCUGACAAAAAAUAAAAAUCAUACAUUCCUUUUCAAUAAAAGGAGAAAGAUGACUCUACUGCCACCAACAAUCAUGUAUUUCCAGAUCCAAAAUUACAUACAAAGGAAGACUAUAAGAAACUCUACCAUUAGCAUGUAGAAACAACCCCAAGAAACAACCCCAGCAGCCUCCUCUCAGCCAUUAAGAAAACUACAGAACCUUCAACAAAUGUUGAAAUAUGCUGCUGAAACUGAAACAUGCAUCUUCCUGAGAUGACAUACAAAAUUGGCAAAGUUAUCGGUUAACCAAUGCCAAGUCUCUUUUUGCAAUCAAGCAUGGUCCAAGUUUGGUUUCCCAUCGUCUGCUAGUGCUUACUCCAGACUGAGCCCACAUAUGCACUAUAACAAACGGAAUCCCAGUUGUUGGACUACCAACUUCACAGCAAAAGGAAUAGAAUAUAAAAGCUUAAUUGUGGCUCACACUGAAGGAGUCCGCUCUGCUAACUAAAGGUGACACCUCUUCAUGUUAAAAAGUUUUAUCUUGCUAAAGAGUAUCAUUUCAUCAAAAUGUGACACAAGAAAAAUGUUGAUAUUAAUAGUUUUUAGUUUUCUGAUCUGCCAGGAUCAUAAGAAAAACGAGCUUUGAGUUGACAUUUAAGAAUAAAGUUUUCUGUGCCAACAAUAUUAUUUGAAGAAUGUUAUAACUUUUUCUUUUAAUUAAAGUUUUACAACUUUUGUUCA